UAGAACACACAUUUUACCAGAAAAGGUUUUUUGACACAUAAAGUUUCUGUGCAAAGUGGAAUUACCCUGCAACCAUGUCAGCAGCUUUGCUGACACUUGAAUCAUGUAAAUUUUUCAUCUCAUCACUACUUCCUUCAGUUCCAUUCUCUAUUUUCCUCCCUUUGUUGGACUCUGCAUUAUUCUCAUCCAUUUCGAUACUCAAAUUGAACAUUUGCUGA
rnacentral:misc_RNA from 1 species